CUCUCACGGCCUGAACCCUCCCCUACCCCCUUCGGGCUUCGGCCAUUCCUUCCGCCUCGCCGAUCCCCCCGGCGGGAUGGCUGGCCCGCGCCCCCUCCCCCGCCGGAUCCUCCGUCUCGCCGCCUCCAUCGCGGUUGCCUUCGCCUGCUUGCCUACCCCCGUCUCCGGUAUCCGGAAGGACAUUGGCUUUAUUGAACCAAUUAUGUGCAGAAGUACUGUUCAGGGACGACAUCUGAUCUCUGAUGAUAAUGGCUAUGUAUGCUCUGCACUUUCAAUCAAUCCAUGGUCUCACUGUUGCCCAACAAUGGGGGACCGCUUUUCCUGCCAGGGCUGCAAACAUGAUUUACAGUGCUGCAACUCUUAUGAAUAUUGUGUUUCUUGCUGUUUGAAUCCUUCUAAGACCAAGAAAGAAGACGUGCUGAAGCUGAAGGUAGCUAAGCCAGUUACUGCUGGAACGUACACAAAUGUUUUUGAUUUCUGCACGGGGAGAUGCCGCCAUAGCUCUGCAAGUGUGGUUCAUGAAAAUGCCUACGCCAGCGACUUCCAUCAUUGUUUUUCAGUGCAGCAAAAUUCAUCAGGAUCAACUGAAGCUAUUUCUGUAGCAAAGUUGUUGGGCAUUAACGUCGUAGUAGGAAGGCCAGGGGAAUCUUGCAGCUUGGUUUGCAAAGUAAGAGGACAGUCAUGUGUUCCGAGCAGGCUCUCUGUCCUGAACAAAUGUGAGAUUUUGCAGAAAUAUAUGAGAUGCAAAAGCGGAUGUUUUCGCAGCCUUGGACCAGAUCAGCCUGCUGAAGUUGUUGUCGAAGCUCCGACCAGCUUGAAUCCAGGAGCAUGCUUAUAUAUGCAGAUGGAUGAGCAGCUCACAUGUGAUGGUUCACAUCAGCAUACCCGGAGGCUCUGUCCAUGCGCAUGAGAAGGAAAAAAGAAACAAGUGGAGAUGAUAAGCUGAAAACCACUGGUUCUCCAUCACCCCCAUGAUGAACUACCAUUCUGCAUACUGGUUGCUACAAGCCCUCAACUCAUCCUACUUUUGGGCAGGAUCAUGGAUGCAAAAGAAAAUGGGGCACCUGCAAAUCUUUGCAUGGUAUUUGGUAGGAUGUUGCCUGCUGAAUGAAAAUGCAUGCAGCAUCGCGCAUCAAAUACGCAGAAACGUGACAAGGCUUUGCGUGUCUGGAUCUAUUCUUGGAGGAACAAUGGUAACAAAACUCAACUAACAUGACAGAAGGAUCAAGAUGAUGCUGGGGGUUAGGAACUUUCUUAGGUCUACGGACCUGGUCCAUGUAAAAUCUGCGUCUAGUAUCUGUUUAUCUUUGGUUGGACGUUCCGGACGAGAUAGCAUACGUGGACGCUCUGGAUGGCCGAGCUUGCCUGUCUGUUUAUCUUGGAAGGCCACGUAUGCAAAUCUCGUUCCAACCAAACCAAUAAAAAUAACCAACAUUGUUCCCGUA